CAAUAGCGUAUAUUUAAGUUGUUGCAGUUAAAAAGCUCGUAGUUGGAUUUCGGGCUGGCUUCAGCGGUCUCGCUUUGCGUUUGUACUGCUGCAGCCUGCCUUCUUGCUGGGGACGGGCCUACGGGCUUAAUUGCUUGGGGUCCGGAAUCAGCGAUGUUACUUUGAGUAAAUUAGAGUGUUCAAAGCAAGCCUACGCUCUGAAUAUAAUAGCAUGGGAUAACACGACAGGACUCUGGCCUAUCGUGUUGGUCUAUAGGACCAGAGUAAUGAUUAAGAGGGACAGUCGGGGGCAUUCGUAUUCCGUUGUCAGAGGUGAAAUUCUUGGAUUUACGGGAGACGAACAUCUGCGAAAGCAUUUGCCAAGGAUGUUUUCAUUGA
rnacentral:rRNA from 1 species